rnacentral:sRNA from 1 species
UUGCUUAAAUACGGGGUGCCUGUGAUACUCGAUAUGACAAGGUGGUCUAUUAGCGUCUUUAAAUAACCAAUGGCCGUAGCGUUUCGGCGGCGAUCGGUCUUGUGGACCUGAGCGAGCUCGCUCACUUUUGGAGCUUGACGAGGAUCGCUACCUCCACAAACAAAUGUGGCUGCAGCAACAGCAAUAACAACUGAAUUCGAAAACUUUAAAUCCCUUUCCGAAAUUUCUUUUGCGUCUAUCGUUAUGGCACAUAGCUCUGCCUGAAAUGUUAUGUGUGUAUCGUAGUAUAACCCCAAUCCCGUCCUUGUCUCCCGAAACCCUCCUCAGUCUGCCCACCACAUCCAAAGUGUCCAGAAGGGAACCUUGUCCAUAUUCUGUCUCCGAGUGCGGUUCAGGGCGGUGACUGUCGACCAAUCUCCUCGCUGUUAAAUGCCCUCUCAAUAUUCAAGAAGGCCGCCAUCGCGUACUACUUCAGUUGGACAAACGCUUCUAAUCUUGCAUCACUGCAUGGAGGGCCAUCUUCUCCGACCUGCCUUGAGUUAUGCAUGAGGUUCUCCGACGUCAGACCCUCACUUUCAAGUCUUUUUUUAUACUUUUUUGUAAAAAGCAUAAUUGCCUUUUUACAUUUACGAUACAUUUGUUCUAUAUUUACGAGAGCAUAACCAGGCCUUAAGCUAUUACAAAACGUAGCAUUUGACAUUUAAAAAAAAAAAACAAUUUUAUUAACAAAAUAGACUUGAAGGUGAGUGAGGGAGAACUUCGGGCAUACCUCAAGGGCACAAAAUGCAUACCUUAAGGACAGGUCGGAGAAGACGGGCCUGCACGCAGUGAUGCGCGAAGUCGAGACGUCGCUCUAACUGACUGGGCCGAAAGUCACCGCUCUGAGCCGCAUGGGGAUCCAACCAAGAUUCUCCCUGUGCUACGUGACAUAACUAUCAACGCGGACUUCGGAGAUAGUGUGGUCAAAGGUAUGCAACAUAUCAACGUCUAUUCCGAACUGUGCCGUCAAGGUUGCGCUUAGGCUGCUGGAGGAGACAGAAUACGGCCAAGGUUUCUGGACACUGUGGAGGAGUGGGGCACACUGAGGAUGGUUUCAGACUACUUGGAAUUUAAGGAUUCACCUUCCCUGGAGGGAGAAGUAGGAGCUAAUACUGGGAUUUCUAGAGAAUGGUACCAUUAUAGAUGACUCUAAGAUGAAGACAGGGACUGGAUUGGGGUUAUAUAAAGCUUUCGAAAUCAGUGUAUAUGGUGGCCCAAUGCCGUGGGUUUUGGUACAGUGAGGUCGAAUUGCGUGUUAGAGUGAAUGGAAUCCCUGUAUAGACUCCAGUUUCACGACAUACUGCUAACAUGGAUUAAAGCAUACAUAUUUCUCACAUUUCAUUUCCUUUUCAUCACAGGUCAGACUGGCCACUGGGUGAACUCACCUUUCCAUGGUAGUCUAACCACGGAAUGUAAAAUUUUGUUUUUACUGAAUUAUAUAUUCCGGUUACGAUUGACAAACGUUCGGUAA